rnacentral:tRNA from 1 species
GCUAUAGCUCAGUUGGAUAGAGCGACCGCCUCCUAAGCGGUAGGCCGGAGGUUCAAGUCCUCUUAGC